ACGCUGGCGGCGUGCCUAAUACAUGCAAGUAGAACGCUGAAGCUUGGUGCUUGCACCGAGCGGAUGAGUUGCGAACGGGUGAGUAACGCGUAGGUAACCUGCCUCUUAGCGGGGGAUAACUAUUGGAAACGAUAGCUAAUACCGCAUAAAAGUCGAUAUCGCAUGAUAUUGAUUUGAAAGGUGCAAUUGCAUCACUAAGAGAUGGACCUGCGUUGUAUUAGCUAGUUGGUGAGGUAACGGCUCACCAAGGCGACGAUACAUAGCCGACCUGAGAGGGUGAUCGGCCACACUGGGACUGAGACACGGCCCAGACUCCUACGGGAGGCAGCAGUAGGGAAUCUUCGGCAAUGGGGGCAACCCUGACCGAGCAACGCCGCGUGAGUGAAGAAGGUUUUCGGAUCGUAAAGCUCUGUUGUAAGAGAAGAACGAGUGUGAGAGUGGAAAGUUCACACUGUGACGGUAACUUACCAGAAAGGGACGGCUAACUACGUGCCAGCAGCCGCGGUAAUACGUAGGUCCCGAGCGUUAUCCGGAUUUAUUGGGCGUAAAGCGAGCGCAGGCGGUUAGAUAAGUCUGAAGUUAAAGGCUGUGGCUUAACCAUAGUACGCUUUGGAAACUGUUUAACUUGAGUGCAGAAGGGGAGAGUGGAAUUCCAUGUGUAGCGGUGAAAUGCGUAGAUAUAUGGAGGAACACCGGUGGCGAAAGCGGCUCUCUGGUCUGUAACUGACGCUGAGGCUCGAAAGCGUGGGGAGCAAACAGGAUUAGAUACCCUGGUAGUCCACGCCGUAAACGAUGAGUGCUAGGUGUUGGGUCCUUUCCGGGACUCAGUGCCGCAGCUAACGCAUUAAGCACUCCGCCUGGGGAGUACGACCGCAAGGUUGAAACUCAAAGGAAUUGACGGGGGCCCGCA
rnacentral:rRNA from 1 species